AGAGUUUGAUCCUGGCUCAGGAUGAACGCUGGCGGCGUGCCUAAUACAUGCAAGUCGAGCGAACCCCUUCGGGGGAGAGCGGCGAACGGGUGAGUAACACGUAGGUGAUCUACCCAUUAGUCGGGGAUAACGUUUGGAAACGAACGCUAAUACCGGAUAGGAUGAAAGUUUAAAGAUGCUUUAGGGCAUCGCUAAUGGAU
rnacentral:rRNA from 1 species